CGAGAUAUCUGGUUGAUCCUGCCUGAACUGAUGUGUUCAUUUCAAAGAUUAAGCCAUGCAUGUAUAAGUUUAAUCGUUUUAACGAGAAACCGCGAACGGCUCAUUACAAUGGCCAUGAUUUACUUGAUCUUGAUUAUCUAAAUGGAUAACUGUGGAAAAGCUAGAGCUAAUACAUGCACCAAAGCUUUGUCCUCUCGGAAAAGCGCAUUUAUUAGAACAAAACCACGCGGCUUCGGCUGCUUCUUGUUGACUCAGAAUAACUAAGCUGACCGCAUGGCCUUGUGCCGGCGGCGUGUCUUUCAAGCGUCCACUUUAUCAACUUGACGGGAGCAUAAUCGACUCCCGUGGUGGUGACGGAUAACGGAGGAUCAGGGUUCGACUCCGGAGAAGGGGCCUGAGAAAUGGCCACUACGUCUAAGGAUGGCAGCAGGCGCGCAAAUUACCCACUCUCGGCUCGAGGAGGUAGUGACGAGAAAUAACGAGAUCGUUCUCUUUGAGGCCGGUCAUCGGAAUGGGUACAAUUUAAACCCUUUAACGAGUAUCAAGCAGAGGGCAAGUCUGGUGCCAGCAGCCGCGGUAAUUCCAGCUCUGCUAAUACAUAGAAUUAUUGCUGCGGUUAAAAAGCUCGUAGUUGGAUUCGUAUCGGUACCCUGGAACCCUCUGGGUGUUUCUGGGUGUUAUCGAUUUAUCGUAAUGUUCGGUUUUGAGUCCUUAACAGGAUUCUUAACAGGCAUUGCAAGUUUACUUUGAACAAAUCAGAGUGCUUCAAACAGGCGUUUUCGCUUGAAUGAUCGUGCAUGGAAUAAUAGAAAACGAUUUCGGUUCAGUUUUAUUGGUUUUACGGACUGAGAUAAUGGUUAACAGAGACAAACGGGGGCAUUUGUAUGGCCCCGUGAGAGGUGAAAUUCUUGGACCGUGGCCAGACAAACUACAGCGAAAGCAUUUGCCAAGAAUGUCUUCAUUAAUCAAGAACGAAAGUCAGAGGUUCGAAGGCGAUCAGAUACCGCCCUAGUUCUGACCGUAAACGAUGCCAACUAGCGAUCCGCCGAUGGAAAUUAUAUUGCCUUGGUGGGGAGCUUCCCGGAAACGAAAGUCUUCCGGUUCCGGGGGAAGUAUGGUUGCAAAGCUGAAACUUAAAGGAAUUGACGGAAGGGCACCACCAGGAGUGGAGCCUGCGGCUUAAUUUGACUCAACACGGGGAAACUCACCCGGCCCGGACACUGUGAGGAUUGACAGAUUGAUAGCUUUUUCAUGAUUCAGUGGAUGGUGGUGCAUGGCCGUUCUUAGUUCGUGGAGUGAUUUGUCUGGUUUAUUCCGAUAACGAGCGAGACUCUAACCUACUAAAUAGCUGGUACAUACUCUUAGUGUAUACAGCUUCUUAGAGGGAUUUGCGGUGUUCAGCCGAAAGAAAUUGAGCAAUAACAGGUCUGUGAUGCCCUUAGAUGUCCGGGGCUGCACGCGCGCUACACUGGCAAAAUCAACGUGCUUGUCCUACCCCGAAGGGGGCGGGUAAACCAUUGAAAAUUUGCCGUGAUUGGGAUCGGAAAUUGCAAUUAUUUUCCGUGAACGAGGAAUUCCAAGUAAGUGCGAGUCAUCAGCUCGCGUUGAUUACGUCCCUGCCCUUUGUACACACCGCCCGUCGCUGCCCGGGACUGAGCCAUUUCGAGAAAUUUGGGGACCGUUGAUUUAAUUUUUCUAAAUUACUUUGAUGGAAACCAAUUUAAUCGCAGUGGCUUGAACCGGGCAAAAGUCGUAACAAGGUAGCUGUAGGUGAACCUGCUGCUGGAUCAUUACUUUA
rnacentral:rRNA from 1 species